GACAGAGGGUGCGAACGUUGUUCGGAAUUACUGGGCGUAAAGCGCGUGUAGGCUGUUCGGAAAGUCGGGUGUGAAAGCCCCGGGCUCAACCUGGGAAUUGCAUUCGAGACUGCGUGGCUAGGGUGCGGAAGAGGGAAGCGGAAUUUCCGGUGUAGCGGUGAAAUGCGUAGAUAUCGGAAGGAACACCAGUGGCGAAAGCGGCUUCCUGGUCCAGCACCGACGUUCAGGCACGAAAGCGUGGGGAGCAAACAGG
rnacentral:rRNA from 1 species